UAAAACAUUACAAACUCCCAAUUCAAAUGAUUGAAUAACAAAAAUAAAAAGUUUUUUUAUACUGACAAUCUAAAAAUAAUCGGGGUAUGUAAGAUUAGGCGGGGAAUAAUCGGAUUAGGCGGGGAAUAAUCGGAUUAGGCGGAGAGUAAUCGGGUGACUGAUUUCUUUAAGGGAUUAGUCAUUAAUCGAGGCGGAUAGGGUAGGCCUAGCGAUUAAGCGGGGAGUAAUCGGGUCUAGGCGGGGAUUUUUAGAACAGGG
rnacentral:lncRNA from 1 species